UUCUGGGCGUAGGUGUGUGUUCGAGCAGAGGAGAAGAAAAGAGGGGGAACCCCUCAUGAACCCUAAUCAACGAAAUUGGAUGCGAAUUGGGCUGAAUUCGAACUUGCAUGAGUCGAAAUAGUGAUUAUCUAAGCAAGCUUUAGCCAAGCGUUAGGGAUCACAUGGAAAUGGACUCAAGCAAGAAAGACUAACGGGUCAAAAGGGGACAAGGAAGCCAAUGAGAAAAUGGACGCUCAAGGUACUACACGGAUUUCUUCUACCACUAUCGAAGAUAAGCGGGCAUCGAUCGAGUCGAAUAACAAGGAUUGUACGGAAAGAACGGUCACGUAGUUUGAAUUAUGUAUUGCUUUGAAACGUAAUUUAAUGUGAAUAUUGUAAAUCCCUUCCAGGAAAUGUUUAAAUUUGUAUUUGAGCCUUUAUGUAAGUAAUGUGUCUAACAUAGAAAGAAAUUUUAAGGCUCGUAUUUCCGCUGCAUCGUUCUUGAGAUAUUUACGUGUUAGGGUGUUACAGAAAAUAAAAAAUAUAUAACUCAAACACUAGUGAUUGAGUGCAAAAUGUGAAGUAGAAUGGGGAGUUGAUAUGCCAUGAUAUGGGGAGUUGAUGGACGUUUGUGAAAGGUUGAUGGACGUUUGUGGAAACGGGCUAGGUAUAGAAUCGUCGGUGCGAGGGAAGUUAGUAUACACACGAUUCGAGAGAAACGACGCGUAACCCGCCAUAUCGGGCAUAGUGGAGUGUAUUACAAAGGGAGCAAUUGGACGAUUGGGUGGCGGGCUAGGAUUUUUUUUGUAAUGUCCACGGGUUGUUCAGGUUAAAACCACGAUUAUGAGAAUUCAUUUUUCAUAUUGUGGUUGGAUGAGUAUUUUUU
rnacentral:lncRNA from 1 species